rnacentral:rRNA from 1 species
AGCAGCCGCGGUAAUUCCAGCUCCAAUAGCGUAUAUUAAAGUUGUUGCAGUUAAAAAGCUCGUAGUUGAAUUUCGGGAUCAAUACGUCGGUCGUGCCUCCGGUACGUACUGGUGUUGUUGAUUUCUCCCUUCUGAUGAACCACGAUGUCAUUAAUUUGGUGUUGUGGGGAGUCAGGACUGUUACUUUGAAAAAUAGAGUGUUUAAAGCAGGCAAAACGCUUGAAUACAUUAGCAUGGAAUAAUGAAAUAGGACGUUCGAACCUACUUUGUUGGUUUCUAGGAUCAACGUAAUGAUUAAUAGGGAUAGUUGGGGGCAUUAGUAUUCAAUUGUCAGAGGUGAAAUUCUUGGAUUUAUUGAAGACUAACUACUGCGAAAGCA